GACGAACGCUGGCGGCGUGCUUAACACAUGCAAGUCGAACGGAAAGGCCCUGCUUUUGUGGGGUGCUCGAGUGGCGAACGGGUGAGUAACACGUGAGUAACCUGCCCUUGACUUUGGGAUAACUUCAGGAAACUGGGGCUAAUACCGGAUAGGAGCUCCUGCUGCAUGGUGGGGGUUGGAAAGUUUCGGCGGUUGGGGAUGGACUCGCGGCUUAUCAGCUUGUUGGUGGGGUAGUGGCUUACCAAGGCUUUGACGGGUAGCCGGCCUGAGAGGGUGACCGGCCACAUUGGGACUGAGGUACGGCCCAGACUGCUACGGGAGGCAGCAGUGGGGAAUAUUGCACAAUGGGCGGAAGCCUGAUGCAGCAACGCCGCGUGCGGGAUGACGGCCUUCGGGUUGUAAACCGCUUUCGCCUGUGACGAAGCGUGAGUGACGGUAAUGGGUAAAGAAGCACCGGCUAACUACG
rnacentral:rRNA from 1 species